UAACCACGGCCCGCCCAGGACACAAAAGGAGGCUCCCGGGUGCCUCCUGAGACUCAAAUCAUUCCAGGUGCAUCAGGAAAUCAAUAGAAAUAAGCUCGUCCCUUUUGGGGUAAUGAAUUAUUUUUCUCUCCAUUACCCCUUCAGUCUCCUAUUCCUGUUUCCUAAGUCAAAACACCUGGACCAGGUGGGGGUCGGGGGAAAAUGUCAAAACCGAGCCAAACUUGUUUUUCCAGCGGUUUCCAUCAGGACUGUUCAGGUUUCCCCCGACCCUCGGCCGUACCACGGGAGCAGCUUCUCCGUGCGACCCCCGGGGGUGGCACAGGGACCCCACCCCGCUGCUCCCCGGGAAACAGAGCCCAGCGCAGCCCACAGAACCGCGGCAGCGCAGCUGGGAGCGCGGCGCGGGCUUUAUUCCCUGGCACACGAUCCCGGGGAGCCCCAAGUGCCGGGACAAACCCGUCCCGCACAGCAGCUGAGCAUUUAUCGUGCAGGAUGUUUUGGAGGGGAUCGCGCCCGUUCUUUUUUGCCGCCUUCCCUGCCCGCGGCUGUGGCGGGCGGCGGUGCUGCCGCCUCGUGGGCAGAGAGCGGCACUGCAGCCCCGCCAUGCUGGGAGCGGCUGCCGCGGGCUCGCCCGAGCUUCCCGUGAGGGCGGCAAAAAGGGCGGGAAAAUCUUGGCUGUAAAAGGACAAGUUGCAUUUUCUGUUUCAGAGCUGUAUUCUGGAGAUAUUACAAAGUGCUGCCCGUGUCACCAGAGCUGCCUAUGAGCUGACAGAGGAUCACAGCCUCCUGACGUGGGUCCCGCCCGGCUUGGAGAAAAGGUAACCAGAGAAGUACAGGAGAAAUGGGAACAAUUUUCCUGCCCACAGUAGAAGAAUUCUGUGGCUGUGGAUGAAAGCAAGGGUGACAGACAUGGAGACAGGGGUGCCAAGGGCUGCCCUGGCAGAACUUGCUGAACUCUGAGGCCUCCCUUGUGUUUUUGAAAACAGAAUCAAGUUGCUUUCAGGUUGUGGUAGGUGGGAUGAUGUGGGGGGGCUUUGUUAUUGGGAAAUCACUGCCUUGAAAAAGCAAAAUGGCACCUUGUGCUGGUGUCUUUACCUUUUAAAUGUCAAGCCUCCUCAGUUUCCAUCCUGUCCCUCCUGCAGGACGGGAGGUGGCACAGUGGUAGAUUUGAGCUGUCUAGAACAUUAUUUCUCCUCCCCUUGCCUCUCCCUCACAAAAAUAGAAUAUGGUCCCCUGUAGGAGAUGGACCAGCUGCUGCUGAGGAUCUGCCUUUCAAAUAUGCUUUUCAAAUGCCUUUUAAAUAAAUUUUUUCCUUUUUUUUUUUUUUUUUUUUUGGGUUUUGUGUUUGCUUGUUUGGUUGGUUUCGUUAGUUUUUUAGGUUUCUGGAGAACAAGGUAAUAAAUAAAAUUAUUUCCUUACUCCAUACUCUAUGAGUAACAAAUUUAGAAGACAAGAAAGAAGACAAGAAUCAAUCCCAGGAGAAUAGGAAACUUCUUCCUGUUGAGCUUGUAAAUGAAUUUCUGUGUGUUUUGGUCACAUUAAUCAAACAUAUUUGGCAAGUCCUUUGUUUUGUUUUUUGUUUUAGUAGGUUUGCAUUUCAUUCUUUGUCCUGUUUAAACUUUAUUAAGGCCAGGAGGCUUUCUUUAUCUCUGCUAGAUGGAUGGCUUUGACAGGAGGAUUUAGGUGUUUGAAUACACGGGGAAUCAAGUAAAAUGUGAUGCCCAGUUGCUGUCAAGCUGAGUGAGUUGUUCAGCACCCUCAGCUCUGUGCUGGAAUACCGUGCUGUUGUGGAGGCGUUUAGGGAGAUGAGGCGUUUCACGGUCAGCGACAGCAUCCUCUCCAGCAGGGAGCUGCUGCUGCUGCACACGUGGAGCCUUGUCAGCCAAGACCUGCAGCUGCAGGAGGACCUGCAGACCCUGGUUCAGAAGGACCAAAACAAAGAAUUGCAUAGUAAGUGCUGAAAUACUUCAAGCAAGGUGUAUUUUGUUGUAGCUGUUUCAGGCCAGCAGUUCAAAUGAGGCAAACUUCUCUGGCAGUAGUACUAACACCUUCUGUCUGACUGAUAUACCUUGGGGGAGGAGGAAAGGAAAUGGAAAGGCAUUUUUCAGAUCUUCCUUGUGGUGAUUUUGAACCUUAACACAAUUUGGAAGCCUUGGAGAAACGCAGUUUAUGAAGGGAAAGAGCUUUAAAAUGAAACUUAGUGGCAAAUCUUGAGUCAGGCUUUGAAAAAGGGUAUUUUUAAUGAAAUCUUAAGAGAAGAAGCGGUGCCUGGAGGCUUUGUGCUCAAAGCUGUGAAUAGGGAUCUGAAAGAGAUGUGUAAGUAAAAACAAUAAGUAAGUAAAGCAAGCGAAAAGUAAUAGUUGGUAUCUCUUGUCACCAGUUUUAAAGAAAGGAAAAAAAUGCAGGACUUGUGUGACUUCUCUUGUUCUCUUUGUGAACAAAAAGUGCAAGGAACUUGGGAGUGGGAGGUCUUAAAGCAGCACUAUUUUCCUGCAGCAGCAGCUGCUUUUGGUGCACAUUAAAGCUUCUGUGGGUUUGUUUAAAUGUUCUGUAUCAUUAAGAAAGUGUCAUGUAUUUAGGGAUUCUGUAAAAGCUUUAGCUUUUCUACUAAAAAAAAGCUCUAGCUUUUCUAGUUUUUUCACUCUUUAAAACUCCUCAGAAAGACGUGAAGUGGUUUGUGGAGUGAUGCCUGUAACUUAGUGCAUGUGUGGGUUGUGUUGCUCCAGGCUUCAGGAGCUUCUCUCGUGCCCAGGCUGGGUGGUCCAGUUUGGAACAGGGUUCCAGCCUGGAGUCCCUGGAGCUCCUGGAGCCCCUUUGAACAGCACAGGCUCCAUCAGGCUGCUAAAUGAGGCUGCUACUUGCCAUUGUAACAACUGAAUCAACACAGGAGAGCACCUUGCUUGCACAGUUUUGUUCUAGGAAAAUCCUUUGGCGUAUCUGAUGUUUGUUUUGAUGGUGGUUAUCUUCUUACAGAAAAUAUUAAAGACAAGAACAAACCUCAAGCCUCAUCUCGUGUGUAUCGUCACACUCAGAAAAAGAACGGGGUGGAAGAAGUUGAUGCUGCUGCAGAUGUGGAAAUGUCUGAGCUGGAGAAAUGCAGAGAACACCUGAAUUCCAUCCUUGCCCACUGGGACCCUGUUUUUCCACACACGGAGGGGAGACCCUCAGAGCCGGUGAAGGUGGGGGUGAGGCAGCGGCUGUCACCUCUGCAUCUGUUCACAUUGUCACUGCGUGGCGUGAGGUCCCUGGCUGGGCAGAGCCCCUUGGGGAGCAGGAUGUGUCCCCAGCACCGAGGUGGCUGCGGAACCGCGUCCUGCCACACCCGGCGGCCGCGCGGGAGAUGUUCAGGGAUGAGACACUGAGGAACAGCCUCUUCAAGCUUUGCACCCGCCCUGCCAGGCCAGCAGCACCUCGGCUGGGCUCUCCAGGCAGCUCGGUGGGCUCAGUUCCAUCGUGCUGCAGCUAAUGGAGGAGCAGGGCCUGUUCAGCACCUUCCACGAGCUUCUGACAUCUCUGUGCCUAUCAGCAGCGGUGGAAGAGGAUGCGGACAAGACAGCUGUGUCUGUAUUCCUGACUUCCAUUUACCUUGGAGACAUGUGCCUUGGAGCACAGGAGCUGGAUGUGUUACUUACCCGUGUCAGAUUGAUCUGCACUAGUGCAGAUUAUGAGUUACAGGGUGACUCAGACACUCGGAAACAAGGGGAAGAAGCUGUUAUGUCUCUAUGCAAAAAAAUUUGGCUCCAUCAGGGCAUUAAUUCAGGGGACUAACACUUCACCUUUAACGUUCUUCUCUGCUCCGUCCGCAUCGCCAUGAGAGCCUCCUGAGAUGUCCUCAUAUAGACCUAUUUGUUUGGUCAAAAAAAUCAGUAUUUUAUUACUGGGUGCAAACUCGGGGAAGAUUUGAUUCAACAUCUCUCAGUGGGAACUUAAAGUUCCAAUUUCCCUUUUCUAGAACAGUUUGAGAGACGAUAUUACUUAUGUCAUUUUUAUUACAGGCAUUUUUAUCUUUCUGAAGAACCAAAAAGACUGUUUGUGCAUGUGUCUUAGCAGCAGGCCCAGCACAGGCAGGCAGGUUUGGAAUUUUAUUUGCUAUGCUGCAGGUGUAUUCAAGACAUCGUUCCUCUUUGUUUGACAGAAGGAAGACAAAAAACUAAUUCUUAGCAACAGAGGAUGUUUUCUUUCCUGUCUAUCAAGCAGCCAAAUACCACCAGCUAGCUAUCCAUAUUUUAAAAUCAGCUGGAGAACUUGCAUCCCAGGGACCUGGGGAGUGUCUGAAGAGAGCUCUGGCCAGAUCUGUUAGCUGUUAAGCACCCCUGGAACAGCAGAGAAGAGGCUGGAAGAGUUCCAGUGCCCCAGUACCCAGAGACCCAUCUGGUCAGGGCAGGUCACUCUUAGGCAGUGCUGCGACUGACCUGGGCCCAGGCAAAAUCACAGAACUGGAGCUGAGCUAAGACACAACUGAAAAAGUCUUUCAAAGGACAGGGAAGCUAAUUCCAGACUCUGUGGGUUUGGACAAAGACAAGUGCAGU